AGAGUUUGAUCAUGGCUCAGGACGAACGCUGGCGGCGUGCUUAACACAUGCAAGUCGAACGAUGAAGCCCAGCUUGCUGGGUGGAUUAGUGGCGAACGGGUGAGUAACACGUGGGUGAUCUGCCCUGCACUUCGGGAUAAGCCUGGGAAACUGGGUCUAAUACCGGAUAUGACCAAGGACUGCAUGGUUUUUGGUGGAAAGGUUUACUGGUGCAGGAUGAGCCCGCGGCCUAUCAGCUUGUUGGUGGGGUAAUGGCCUACCAAGGCGACGACGGGUAGCCGGCCUGAGAGGGCGACCGGCCACACUGGGACUGAGACACGGCCCAGACUCCUACGGGAGGCAGCAGUGGGGAAUAUUGCACAAUGGGCGAAAGCCUGAUGCAGCGACGCCGCGUGAGGGAUGACGGCCUUCGGGUUGUAAACCUCUUUCAGCAGGGACGAAGCGCAAGUGACGGUACCUGCAGAAGAAGCACCGGCCAACUACGUGCCAGCAGCCGCGGUAAUACGUAGGGUGCGAGCGUUGUCCGGAAUUACUGGGCGUAAAGAGCUCGUAGGCGGUUUGUCGCGUCGUCUGUGAAAUCCCGCAGCUCAACUGCGGGCUUGCAGGCGAUACGGGCAGACUUGAGUACUGCAGGGGAGACUGGAAUUCCUGGUGUAGCGGUGAAAUGCGCAGAUAUCAGGAGGAACACCGGUGGCGAAGGCGGGUCUCUGGGCAGUAACUGACGCUGAGGAGCGAAAGCGUGGGUAGCGAACAGGAUUAGAUACCCUGGUAGUCCACGCCGUAAACGGUGGGCGCUAGGU
rnacentral:rRNA from 1 species